rnacentral:rRNA from 1 species
GAUGAACGCUGGCGGCGUGCCUAAUACAUGCAAGUCGAGCGAACAGAUGAGGAGCUUGCUCCUCUGACGUUAGCGGCGGACGGGUGAGUAACACGUGGAUAACCUACCUAUAAGACUGGGAUAACUUCGGGAAACCGGAUCUAAUACCGGAUAAUAUAUUGAACCGCAUGGUUCAAUAGUGAAAGACGGUUUUGCUGUCACUUAUAGAUGGAUCCGCGCCGCAUUAGCUAGUUGGUAAGGUAACGGCUUACCAAGGCAACGAUGCGUAGCCGACCUGAGAGGGUGAUCGGCCACACUGGAACUGAGACACGGUCCAGACUCCUACGGGAGGCAGCAGUAGGGAAUCUUCCGCAAUGGGCGAAAGCCUGACGGAGCAACGCCGCGUGAGUGAUGAAGGUCUUCGGAUCGUAAAACUCUGUUAUUAGGGAAGAACAAAUGUGUAAGUAACCAUGCACGUCUUGACGGUACCUAAUCAGAAAGCCACGGCUAACUACGUG